rnacentral:rRNA from 1 species
UACGUAGGUCCCGAGCGCUGUCCGGAUUUAUUGGGCGUAAAGCGAGCGCAGGUGGUUUAUUAAGUCUGGUGUAAAAGGCAGUGGCUCAACCAUUGUAUGCAUUGGAAACUGGUAGACUUGAGUGCAGGAGAGGAGAGUGGAAUUCCAUGUGUAGCGGUGAAAUGCGUAGAUAUAUGGAGGAACACCGGUGGCGAAAGCGGCUCUCUGGCCUGUAACUGGCACUGAGGCUCGAAAGCGUGGGGAGCAAACAGG